rnacentral:rRNA from 1 species
UCAGGACGAACGCUGGCGGCGUGCCUAAUACAUGCAAGUCGAACGGUCUUUCUAUGGAAGCUUGCUUCCACUGAGAAGAUAGUGGCGAACGGGUGAGUAACACGUGGGUAACCUGCCCAUAAGAGGGGGAUAACAUCCGGAAACGGGUGCUAAUACCGCAUAGUUUUCUUGAUCGCAUGAUCGGGAAAGGAAAGACGGCCUUUGUGCUGUCGCUUAUGGAUGGACCCGCGGCGUAUUAGUUAGUUGGUGAGGUAAUGGCUCACCAAGACGAUGAUACGUAGCCGACCUGAGAGGGUGAUCGGCCACAUUGGGACUGAGACACGGCCCAAACUCCUACGGGAGGCAGCAGUAGGGAAUCUUCCGCAAUGGACGAAAGUCUGACGGAGCAACGCCGCGUGAGUGAAGAAAGGUUUUCGGAUCGUAAAACUCUGUUGUCAGAGAAGAACAAGUUGGAGAGUAACUGCUCCAGCCUUGACGGUAUCUGACCAGAAAGCCACGGCUAACUACGUGCCAGCCGCGGC